UACGGAGGGUGCAAGCGUUGUCCGGAUUUAUUGGGUUUAAAGGGUGCGUAGGCGGCCCGCUAAGUCUGUGGUGAAAUCCCGGGGCUCAACCCCGGAACUGCCCUGGAUACUGGCGGGCUUGAGUUCGGUCGAGGCGGGCGGAACUGGUGGUGUAGCGGUGAAAUGCAUAGAUACCACCAAGAACCCCGAUUGCGAAGGCAGCUCGCUGGGCCGAAACUGACGCUGAGGCACGAAAGCGUGGGGAGCGAACAGGAUUAGAAACCCCCGUAGUCC
rnacentral:rRNA from 1 species